rnacentral:rRNA from 1 species
AUUGAACGCUGGCGGCAGGCCUAACACAUGCAAGUCGAGCGAGCGGCGGACGGGUGAGUAAUGUCUGGGAAACUGCCUGAUGGAGGGGGAUAACUACUGGAAACGGUAGCUAAUACCGCAUACCAUCAGAUGUGCCCAGCUGGGGUUGGCUAGUAGGUGGGGUAACGGCUCACCUAGGCGACGAUCCCUAGCUGGUCUGAGAGGAUGACCAGCAACAAUGGAACUGAGACACGGUCCAGACGCCUCCGCGAGGCAGCAGUGGGGAAUAUUGCACAAUGGGCGCAAGCCUGAUGCAGCCAUGCCGCGUGGGUGAAGAAGGCCUUCGGGUUGUAAAGCACUUGCAGCGGGGAGGCGUUACCCGCAGAAGAAGCACCGGCUAACUCCGUGCCAGCAGCCGCGGUAAUAC